rnacentral:tRNA from 1 species
GCGAGGGUAGCUCAAUUGGUUAGAGCACCAGUUUUCCAAACUGGGGGUUGCGGGUUCGAUCCCCGUCCUUCGCU